rnacentral:siRNA from 1 species
AGCUUCUCCAAAAACCAUUGAUGU